rnacentral:rRNA from 1 species
UCUACGGGAGGCAGCAGUAGGGAAUCUUCCACAAUGGACGAAAGUCUGAUGGAGCAAUGCCGCGUGAGUGAAGAAGGUUUUCGGAUCGUAAAACUCUGCUGUUGAAGAAGAACAUAUGUGAGAGUAACUGUUCACGUACUGACGGUAUUCAACCAGAAAGCCACGGCUAACUACGUGCCAGCAGCCGCGGUAAUA